UGGUGGAGCGAUUUGACUGGUCAAUUCCGAUAACGAACGAGACUCUAGCCUACUAAAUAGUUCGGGGAUCCCCACAAAGGGGCCCCGCUUCAACUUCUCAGAGGGACAGGUGGCGUUUAGCCACACGAGAUUGAGCAAUAACA
rnacentral:rRNA from 1 species